UUUUUUUUUUUUCUUCUACCUGUGUCUUAUACUAAUUAUUUCACUUCAUAAUCACUGGCUAAUGUUGGACAUUUAUGCCCUUUUAAGCCUCUAAUGAAAUAUAUAAACUCCAUGGGAAAACUGUUCUCAGGCCAUUUUAUCAGCCAAUAGGUAAGUGGAGAAACAUCUUAAACUCCCCAAAUGCAGAAAACCUCAUUGGAUAUUUGUUGGAAUUGCCUCUAAUUCUAGAACCUGCCACUGCAUUUUAUAACAUAAAUUCUUUGGGUACUCUUCCGUCACUCUUUUAAAAAUCUGUGAGGAGUUCCAGAAAAGAAUGGCUUCUUGAUUCUCAAAUCUGAAAUUCCAGUGACUGCCUUUGCAAUGGCUGCUGCUUCUAGUCAUCUUGAAAUGGAAAUCACAACAAAAGGUUUUUUCCUCCUUCUUUAGGAAGCCACCGAAUACUCUGCACAAAAGCCAGAAAUUCCUGAAAUGCCGAGCAAGGAGGAUGAGGAACAGAAACAGCCAGGGGAUGUGUUUUGCCCUCCUAACUAAAACAAUAGCGAUUUAAGGAGCUAUCAUAUAGACACUUGAUGAAUCCUUUUAUUAUCUCUGAAAGAUUCCCCUGUUGCAGCCUGCUUUUGUGGGUAAAGAGCUAUAUAUUGGUACAUGCAGCUCAUAAUUAUGUCAGCCUAACCACAGCUAACAUUGACAGCCUAAAACAUUAAAGAUUUUUAUACAGCUAGAGCCGAAUACAGCUUCUUUUAUUGGCUCAGAGAGCAGGUAUCAAUUAUAAUGAGGUAAUAAAAUUUGCAGGCACUGUUCACAUCCUGCUCUGAUUUCUUUCCCCUCCUUAAGAUAAUAAGAGCAGAAAAAGGAGAAAAAUCCUCCUAGCUCUCACUUAUCACUGAUUCCUCGAAAGCCCUCGCGUUGGGAGGCUGGAGUGCCAUAAAGCUGUUUGCUUCUUUGAGUUUUCCUACUGGCAAAGCCUUCCUUCCUAAGCAGAAGCUGCAAAUUCCAGAAGCACACCUAACAAGUCAGAGCACCCAGGCCCCAGGAUUAAUGGUUUCCAUUUGCAUAACUGUAAGUUUCAGGCGGUCCUCCCAAGCCUGCAUCCUUGAAAUUGCACUUCCUGAUGAGAUGCAAAAUCCUCUAAAAGGGUUCCUCAACCUAAACCAAUUUGUAAAGUUGUUUUGUUAUUUAGAACAUUAAAGAAAUUAAAGUGAUCGGAAUAUAAUUAGAUUAAUAUUCAUAUCUUCCAAGUUGCUUUAAUUCUAAUAUUAAAAAGAUUAAAUAUCCACUCAGAGGAUUAAGCAAAAAGUCAAGCAGUAGCAACACAUUUACAUUACCUUACUGUGCAAAUUAUAAACCUAAUUAAUCUAAAGUUUCCUGCAAAUUGAAUUGGAGAUUCAUUCACAGGCUCACACAACUUUAGGUCCUUAAAAUGCACUUGCAUGCUGUUUCCUUUGCCUGGACCCAGGAGCUGGGCCAUGCUUCUGUGAUGUACGAAUCCCAUUAGAACGGCUUCAUUUGGGUUCUAAUUGGUGGAAAUUAAAUCUCAACAUAAAUUUAUGUAGGAAAAAAAAAAAAAAACUAAAGACUUCGUAAUUAUGUACGUCUGCAAUAAUAAAACUCAUUCUGCCCUCCGCAUCUAGUUGCCACGGAUAACAUGGCAAAAGCAACCCAGUUGUGCGCCUUCAUAAAAGCUCUGAGUUCACGUUUUCUCCUCAUAUGUAGCAGAGAAGAUGAUCAAGAGGGUUCGUCCUUUGGGGUUUUUUUCAUGGUCCAUAACGACAUGCGUCCAAUGACGUUGGUCUGCAGCGGUGUCCUCCCCACCCCCACCCACUUCACCACCUCCCGUGACCCCUUCCAUCGCACGCAUAUUCCCAGGGGCUCCCUGAGUCAGGGGGAGCAACCGUGCAGGUUUCAGAUCAAGUCCUGAUAGACAAGUUGUCCCCUUCCUGCUGUCCGGGCCUUAAGCCAUCUACUGGCAAUGGUAAUACUGAGGCACUUCCAGGGUUCUCAGCUCUCCAAGUGCUUCCCCUGGGUUAGGAGGGUGAACUGGUUGCCAUCAGAACACCUUCCCAUGUGCCGGCUCUCUCUUUCCAGGCAUGGGGUAGGGCUCAUUUCUGCCAGUGAAACCGGACAUGGCCCUGUGGGGCGUCUGGGUGCAAGAGCCUGUCUGUGUCCCCCAUAUCUUGUUCUUAGGAAGAACAAGAAGGGGGCCUCGUUCAGCCUCCAUGGAACUUCCCUGAGCUCCUAGGGACAGGUUCAGACAGGUGCUGAUUGGGGGAGGGAAGAACAGUCAAGAAACGACAGCACAGCCUUGGGGCAGGAUCCUGGUGCCCUCUCAGGGGAUACGCAUAAUAACAUAGGCAUCUUAUACACCUAAGAGAAAAGGUAUAUUCCUUAUGCUUCUUUUAGCCAUGAAUAAAGAGUCCUUUCUUGUCCUUCUCCCUGGCUUAAUCGCACCCUAAACGCAAUCACCCAGAAGCUCAAGAUGAUGUACCCUGAGCUUAACUGCCUGUGGAUUAACGAUUAUUAUUAGCACAUGAUGCUUUUUAGGAACGUUCCUGGUUUGUUCGAAUUUCCAAUCCAUAUGCCCUUUUCGCGAAUACUGUUAUUCGAGGCAAUAACUCAGAAAACCACCAUUAGCAUCAGGCUGAGAUCUCCCAACUCCAGCUUUGAUGACUAAGAGUCUCCCAAAGAAAGAAGAAUGCAUGUUUGUCCCAAUCCUGAUUCCUAUCUGAAAACAUGUUUUUCCCCUUUUUACUAUAAAACUCCUUGCAGUUCUUUCUUUUUUGUAAUUUUUUUAAAAGAUUUUGCUUUUUAGGGUCGAACCCAUGGCAUAUGGAAGUUCCCAGGCUAGGGGUUGAACUGGAGCUGCAGCUGCUGGCCUACACCACAGCCACAGCCAAGCAGGAUCCAAGCCAUGUCUGUGACCUACACCACAGCUCACGGCAACACGGGAUCCUUAACCCACUGAGCGAGGCCAGGGAUCGAACCUGGGUCCUCAUGGAUGCUAGUUAGAUUUGUUUCCACAGAGCCAAUGGGAACUCCUCCUUGCAAUUCUUUCCAUGGGGCGGUGCGGUGCAGGCAUUAGCCCGCUGGGACCCUCUUUGGCCUGGCAAAGCAAUAAAGCUACUUUUUUUUUUUUUCCUCCUUUACCCAAAACCCUGCCUCUGCGUUUCAGUUUGGUACCAGCAGACAGAGGCUGAAUCCCAGCAAUGCCAACACAAGGUGAGUUGUGGUCAUCCAACUGCUUUCGGCCAAGAAGAUGUGAGGAGAAGAGGUAAAGGUUUCUUUCGAGCAGACGCUUUAAGGACCAGCAUAUGCUUUCUCGUGUUCGCCUUUUCCUCUGCCGUGGAAACCAGCAACAUUUCAGAAAGCGAUUUUUCUAUCAACCUAAGUCCUGGAGUUAACAGGAUGCCUCACAAUGGACACAGAAUAAGAGCAAGAAAUAAAACUGUGUUUUGAGGUCCUGAGUUUUGGAGCGUUAUUCGUUUCCUCAGCAAAUGUGGCCUCUGCUGCCCAAUGUAGCUUCUUAGAACUAACACGUUAGUUAGAGGAAGGUACCACUGAAUUGAUGAUAAAACAAACUCUAUGUCCCUAAACCUCUAUUCCUUCAUCUGUAAAACUGGAACAACACAGUACAUUUUUUUCCCACAGCUGCUUGAGGUAAUAUUGAGAUAAUUAAUUGAGAUAAUAUAUAUAUAUAUAUAUAUAUGCAGCACUUAGCUCAUGAAAAUUCUCAAUAAACAGUAGCUCCUAUUAUGAUGACCCCACCACGCUACCCUACUCGGAAGUAAAACUCAGUACAAAUCAUCCAACAGCUGGAAGAAGAGGGUGCCAUUCAAGGAGUUUGUGGUGGAGACAGGCCAGCUGUUCACUAAUCCACUCUCCUUGCUUUUGCUGCCCACGGGGAACACGUCCCAGCCUCCCUUGCAGUUAGGCUUCGUCACAUGACCAAGGUUUAGCCGAUGGGAUGGGAGAGGAAGCAACUUGCGCCACUUCCAGGCCUGAGCCAAUGAAGCUGACGUGCCUGAUAUUCCACGAGCUUUCUUCUUCCAGAAUGAAUAAUGAAGCAACCUGCCAAAGGAUCUGUGCAUCGUGGAGAAACCACGGAAUGGGAGGAGCCUGGGUCCCUGAAUCACCACUUGGAGGAGAGUGUCUUGCUGGUCAGAACAGCUUGCUCUGGACUUUAGGUUGAAGCAGAACAAAUUUUGCUUGUAUUUAAAACACUUAGGUCUUCUUAAAGUCACCCAUACCUACUGCAGAAGUCUUUAGUGAGUCCAUUUCCCAAGAAAAGCCAAAGUAAACUAACCCUUAGUCCUCUAAGGACAACUUCUCCUCCCAACAGAUUCAAACUUCAAGCCACACAAAUAUUAACUUCUCAGCAUGAAACAACGCAAGGAGCAGGAAUGGGAUUCGUGUCUACUUAUUUUAUUGUUGUGAUGAUAACAAAUAUAAUGACUACAGCUUCCUUGGGAAUAAUCCUGCUAUUAGCGGUAACAGGAAAGGCUGGGACCUGCGAUUUCGGUGAGUGUCCUGGGUUCAUUCAGGGCUGCUAAUGUGGGCUGUAAUUCCUCAUUUCUCCUCCACGGCAUUGCUUUUUAUGGAAUUUAUAUUGACGAAUGCAGGUGAUAACUGUCAGCUCACCUGGGAAAGCCCAGCGUGAGAAGCUGAACCACUCGUCUUGUGUUUUCUGAAGAGGGAGAAGGUCUGGGCAGCUCACCCUUAUCUCCAACUUCCUCUCUUACCCCCACAAUCUUCCCUCACCUACAAGUUUUGCCAGAUCAGUGGUUUUCGUUGUAAAUCAAACGACAGCACUCCUGUCCUUACAGAGCUUCAACAACUUCUUAUUCAGUUUAGAUGGAGGCAAAAAGUCUUGGCGGACUCCCAUUCUUCCUCUUCCUGGGGUCCAUGCCCUUCCCUGUGUAACCCUGCACUGUCUUCCUUUCCUGAGUUCCUCAGAUGACUUGUUUUGGGCAAUGGAAUGUGGUAGAAAGCAUAGGCAUGCCGGUUCUGAGUGUAGACAGACCCCAAAAGACAUCAUGUUAUUUCAGCUUGCUAUCUUGGGCUUCACCACUGUCAUGAGAAAUUUACAUAUGCUUGAGCCCUGCUGGUCCCUGGAGGAUGAGAGACAUGGGGGAGAAUCACCCUAAACAAGGUGUCCCCUUCAUGUCCCACCUAGGGCAAAAGCCCCAGUUGACACAAGGAUGCAUGAACAAGACAGCCGACACAUAGGCAAAGGAGGAGACCCCUGGGUCCAGCAGGACCAGCAGAACAGUGCAGCCAAGCCCAGGCUAGUUUCUCUGAACUCCACAGACACAUGAGAAGUAAAUUUGGUCCCUGAUUUGGGGCAUGCUUUGUUACACAGCAAUCGCAACCCCAGGGCUGGCCGACAAUUCAUCUUUCAAGCUCAAGUAAGCCAUUUCGCUCCAUCUCAUCCCACAGUUCCAACAUGCGCUUUGCUCCAUGGCGCCUCCAUCUAGUUCCAGACAUGAUCUGCUCUUUCUUCUCCUGGAGUCUGUGCCUGGACGGAUCCCCUUAAUGGAGCCCUCAUACUACGCUGUGCCCUCUCCCAUCACUACGCAUCACUACUGCUCAUUAUUCAUCUCGCGACUCAAAUGCAACAGCAGAAGCCCCACCCCAUGACUGCACCAUCUAAACUUGGCCUCCAUGGUCACUCACCUUGGGAAGUCCCCAGUGCAAAGCAAAUGGGUUACAGAUGUGCCAAGAUACCGAUGCCCUUUGGGGUGUUGGAGCUGCCAGGUGCCAGCCCUGAGCAGCCUCAUCCAUUCAACUUAGUGGCACUAAACAUGCUGCGUGUGUGCCCUGGUGUGCCAAAGAUGGCAAGUGCUGCUUACACAACUAUGUUGACUUCUCUCCUAUCACCUGCCAUGGUCUAAAAUUACCUUCUGGCUUCCAAAACCCAAAUGAUUUGUAUAUAUUCUCUGCCCCCACCCACGAGACAAAGGGUAGGGCAAAUCCGGCUCCCGGGCUGUUUUUAUAAAUAAAGUUUUAUUGGCACACAGCCACACCUAUCACUUAUGCAGUGGUCAUGGCUGCUUUCUCACUACAAUAAGGCAGUAAAGCAUUGGCAACACAGCUUGUAUGAUCUCCAAAGCCUAGGAUAUUUACUCUCUAGUCCUUUACAGAAACAGUUUGCUGACUUUUGCAUUAGAUUAUAAAUGGUCAGAGGACAGAAAUCUUCUCCGUUUUGGUCACUUUUGAAUCUCUUGCACUUUGGAUGGUGCCUGCCACCUCAUGGGUCCUCAGUGCCUGUUUUCCUGUGGGAUGGAUGAAUCUGGACGCCAGCAGAUACUGGUUUUUAACUCCCAUCUCCGCACAAGGCCAAGGGCCCCUCAAUGGGUCAAACUGCAUCUCAGCCCUGGAACAUAGGACGGCUACCAUGCUAGUGACCACAAAGUGGCCGUCGGAUUUCUCAGAAAGAAAACACACAGGCUGCCUCGACCGGUGGGAGAAGGAAUGCUUGGUCUGCAUCUAUAGCAGCCGAGACAAUUUGAAAGUAUGAAGAAAUGUGAAAAACUCAAAGUUUAAUUUACUUGAAUAAGCAAUUGAUGCUUUGGAGUAUAAUUAUCAGAAGAAAAAAAAAAAAAAA
rnacentral:lncRNA from 1 species